AACGGCCAUACCAUGCUGAAUAUACCGGUUCUCGUUAGAUCACCGAAGUCAACAUCAUUGGGCGCGGUCAGUACUUGGGUGGGUGACCCCCUGGGAACACCUGGGGU
rnacentral:rRNA from 1 species